CUUUACAACUUCGAAACAAACGCUGCUAGUUGCAAGAAUCUAGUUGCAAUUCAGGGGACCUUUCGAGUUCGAAACAUCUAAGGCUAUCAUGUGUUGCCAACUGCAAGAGUCUGACUGCGGGAAUCUAGUUGAAAUUCACGGCCUUGAGAGGUUGAUUAUUGGUAAGAUUGGAUAUCUCUAAUUGCACAUCCAUCGAAAGAUAACCAGACCUUUCUAGUUUAAAUAAUUUGAGGGCUUUGAUGUUGCAAGCUGCAAGAGUCUAAUUGAAACGCGGUCUUGACGGGCUGGAUAUUUUGGUAAUAUUGGAUAUCUGUGGUUGCACUUCCCUUGGGAGAUUAUUGGAUCUAUCGUGAUUGAAAACCCUGAAAAGGUUGAAACAUCAACCACCGUGAGAAGCUAAAUGACACUGAAAGCCUAGAGAUAUUUUCAUCCUGCAAAAGUUUGCAAAAUUCCCAAAUGCGUUGAAAUUUGAAGAUUUAAGGAACUUGAUAGUGAUAGCUUGUUGCGAACUAUCAGACAUCCCAGGGCUCAAAGGAUCGAGAUACCUAUAAAGUAUAGAGAUUUCAUGAUGCUCAUCAAUUGUCGCAUGAGACUGCAACAAACUAAUUGAGCCUCGAGGGCUUGGAGACUUGGAGCUUCCACAAGCUUUAGUCAUUUCCCAAUGCAAGUGGCUAAAGCCAAUAUCUGAAUUGUCAUGAGCUUUCCUCAUAUAGAAUAUGAGCAGUUGUUACGUUGGGUUUUCUUGAGAUCACAUUCUGGUGAUAGUUCGAGAUGAUCCCUGUCCCCUAAUAAGACAAAACCUUAGACUUGAUAAAGUCAUGAAUGAAGCUGGCAGUCCUGGUGAAUCAUCCGUGAAACUCUUUUUUGUGCAUUACUGAGUGAUUCAUGCCUCUUAGUUGGAAUGAAAUCUUUCUCUUGAUCGUGGUAGGAAUGUAGCUGGCAGCCCUUGUUGGAGGACUAGAUCAUAAGAGUGCCUUUUGAGAAAAUAAUUCGUCAUUUGUCAUCCCCUGUGAUUCUUCAAUCUCAACAUGAUACCAGGAACCGGACUUUUAGAUUAAUAAUCUUUUUUCAAGUUUUGCAUUUGAAGGUUGUUCUGCUCGCUUGCAGGUCAUCUAUAAGGUGUUUGUUUUGUUUAUAUGGCGAGUUAAACUUUUAUGCUGUUGAUUAAUGGCAGGCAUACUGGUUUAACUUUAUACGCAAUGUUGAUACUGUAGAAAUUACAAAACGUAGAAAGAACAAGCAGCUCUUUAAGAAAAUCCGUUUGACCAUAGUCAUCUCAGUUUCUUAAGGUGGACGACUGAAAUCCCACACUCAGGAAUGAUGCGAAUUUGCUUGCUUUUCCUGAUUGCUUGAAUUGGUUUUUUAUUGUUCUGGGAUAUUGCAACUGUAAUUUUCUCUUUUGUCUGUUCUCACUGAUUGCUCGAAGUAAUCUAGUGAUUGACAUGUGGAUUAUUAAGGAAGCUUCUGGAGGCAAAGUAUAAAAACACACAGGCAAAGGAGAGCGGUCAUGCUGUUGGACUUGUGGCGCUCUGGAUCCCCAAAAUUUGUUGGGUUCUUUCAAGCUAAUCAUCAGGACCAGCAGUUUCACACAAAGAUAUGAAGCAUCACUUCCAGGUGGUGGCAGAGAUGUGGUGGUCCCAGUGGUUGGCGCUGGUAGUUACGGGGAUCCAGCUGGACUGGAGGUCGGGGAGGCAGAAGUUUCACUAACGGUGACGGCUAAUUUUUGGCCCCGAGAGCAACAGUCACUGUUAGCAAAGAUGUAGACAAAGUUAUACUUGCAGGCGUCGUUGAGGGAAAAGGUGGCCAGUCUGUUGGUUAGUUUAUGAACAUAGAAGCACUGUUGCAAUUAUUGUUAGCACCAUUUGACAUGUUCACGACAUCAUGUGACCCUGCAUUGCAGUAGCACACUGUAAAAAUAAUGGAAGAUCAUUGGCAUUUAAGAGUGAAGUUCCAGACUGAUUUUUCGGCCACUGAAGCUCAAGAUUGAUUGCACGAUGCCUGCGGUGGUUCCCUUGACAUCGCAAGCAUCUCUGGUAGACUAUCUUAUGGGGGAUCAUUUGGUUUUGGAGCAAGUUGAUGAUGAGGAAGCUGAGAUGGUUUUGAUUGGAAGGAUUUUGUUGGAGAAGUGCUUGAGUCGAGCUGCGUAGCUAAUGUUUGAAGGAAAACCUGGGCUGGUAUGGGUGAGAUUACUAUAACCCCUCAAAAUGAGAAGAUGUAUUUGUUCAGGUUUCACGAUUGGCACCAAGCAGAGAUAGUCUUAAGUUCUGGCCCUUGGUGGAUUGCAUAAACUGCAGGGAUGGGAUGCUCAGAGGAGACAGGAGAACCACUGUUUUCAUGAACUGGAGGUGUGGCUGCAAAAUACAUGGAUUGGCCUUAGACCAAAUGAAAGAGAACAAUGCGAAACCUAUUGCUUGUUGGGCGGGCAAACUGGUGAAAGUUGAGUCAAUUCAUACCAAAUCUCAGGGACAUUGUGGAUUCCUUUCUGCUAAAAUUUCCAGAUGAGCUUUGUUACUUCGACUGAGUAUAAAACUUUCUGAGGGGUUGGUGAGUGAGAUUGAGAUUGAAAUAGAGAAAGCCAGUACUAAUCAUUCACUGACGAAGAAAAUGUCCAAAAUGAUGCAUUUACAUGUCUUUCGAUGGCAGGAAAGGUCAGUUCAAUGAUAUUGGCCAAAUGGAUUGCGGGAUAGGGUGGGAAUGAAUGUGACAUCGCUCAAACCUUUGUAAUGGGAUUGAGGAGGAUGAUUUGAUAAUGGACUGCGAUUCCACAAAUUCUUUACUCUCUAUUAUAUUCAAUUUGUAGAUCAUUCCAGCAACCGACCGUAAUAUUUGACUAAUCGAUAUUCACUUGAUCAGAUCAAACAUAUA